GGGAGUGUGUCCAAUGACUCACGGAUCCUCAGAGCUCUGAAAGACUUUGUACCUGACUUGGAGAAGGUUGUCAAACUACAUUCAGAAGAGGCCAAAGUGAAAAAGAAGGUCCUUACACAGUUCAGCAACGGAGAUGAGAAACUAGUGAAGACACAACCCAUCAGGAACUGUG